rnacentral:pre_miRNA from 1 species
GAUUUACUCUCUUCGUCCGAUAGAGAAUGUCUCAAGUUUGUCAAAAUUUGGAUGUAUCUAGAUGUAACUUACUAUAUAGAUGCAUUCAAAUUUAGUUAAAGUUGAGACAUUUUUUAUUGGACGGAUGAGUAAUAU